rnacentral:rRNA from 1 species
AGCGAACGCUGGCGGCAGGCUUAACACAUGCAAGUCGAACGCAUCCUUCGGGGUGAGUGGCAGACGGGUGAGUAACACGUGGGAACGUACCCUUUGGUUCGGAACAACUCCGGGAAACUGGAGCUAAUACCGGAUACGCCCUUUUGGGGAAAGGUUUACCGCCGAAGGAUCGGCCCGCGUCUGAUUAGCUUGUUGGUGGGGUAACGGCCUACCAAGGCGACGAUCAGUAGCUGGUCUGAGAGGAUGAUCAGCCACACUGGGACUGAGACACGGCCCAGACUCCUACGGGAGGCAGCAGUGGGGAAUAUUGGACAAUGGGCGCAAGCCUGAUCCAGCCAUGCCGCGUGAGUGAUGAAGGCCUUAGGGUUGUAAAGCUCUUUUGUCCGGGACGAUAAUGACGGUACCGGAAGAAUAAGCCCCGGCUAACUUCGUGCCAGCCGCCGCGGUAAAAC